CCCUAGAGGCAUUGCAGAUGUGGCUGCUGUGUUGCACCUGCCUCAGUAGGAAAGAGGCUGUGUCUACACGCAGUGUUCUGACUUCUGAACACCUGAGUGUUUAGUAGCCUAGCAUU
ensembl:snoRNA LOC120096814 small nucleolar RNA SNORA17